GACGAACGCUGGCGGCGUGCUUAACACAUGCAAGUCGAACGGAAAGGCCCUGCUUUUGUGGGGUGCUCGAGUGGCGAACGGGUGAGUAACACGUGAGUAACCUGCCCUUGACUUUGGGAUAACUUCAGGAAACUGGGGCUCAUACCGGAUAGGAGCUCCUGCUGCAUGGUGGGGGUUGGAAAGUUUCGGCGGUUGGGGAUGGACUCGCGGCUUAUCAGCUUGUUGGUGGGGUAGUGGCUUACCAAGGCUUUGACGGGUAGCCGGCCUGAGAGGGUGACCGGCCACAUUGGGACUGAGAGACGGCCCAGACUCCUACGGGAGGCAGCAGUGGGGAAUAUUGCACAGUGGGCGGAAGCCUGAUGCAGCAACGCCGCGUGCGGGAUGACGGCCUUCGGGUUGUAAACCGCUUUCGCCUGUGACGAAGCGUGAGUGACGGUAAUGGGUAAAGAAGCACCGGCUAACUACGUG
rnacentral:rRNA from 1 species